rnacentral:rRNA from 1 species
AUGCAGUCGAACGAUGAUGCCCUGCUUGCAGGGUGGAUUAGUGGCGAACGGGUGAGUAACACGUGGGUGAUCUGCCUCGUACUUCGGGAUAAGCCUGGGAAACUGGGUCUAAUACCGGAUAGGACUGCGCUGUAAGGGUGUGGUGGAAAGUUUUUUCGGUACGAGAUGAGCCUGCGGCCUAUCAGCUUGUUGGUGGGGUAAUGGCCUACCAAGGCGUCGACGGGUAUCCGGCCUGAGAGGGUGUACGGACACAUUGGGACUGAGAUACGGCCCAGACUCCUACGGGAGGCAGCAGUGGGGAAUAUUGCACAAUGGGCGAAAGCCUGAUGCAGCGACGCCGCGUGGGGGAUGACGGCCUUCGGGUUGUAAACUCCUUUCGUCAGGGACGAAGCCAUCUUUGGUGGUGACGGUACCUGGAUAAGAAGCACCGGCUAACUACGUGCCAGCAGCCGCGGUAAUACGUAGGGUGCGAGCGUUGUCCGGAAUUACUGGGCGUAAAGAGCUCGUAGGUGGUUUGUCGCGUCGUCUGUGAAAUUCCGGGGCUCAACUCCGGAUGGGCAGGCGAUACGGGCAUAACUUGAGUGCUGUAGGGGAGACUGGAAUUCCUGGUGUAGCGGUGAAAUGCGCAGAUAUCAGGAGGAACACCGAUGGCGAAGGCAGGUCUCUGGGCAGUUACUGACGCUGAGGAGCGAAAGCAUGGGUAGCGAACAGGAUUAGAUACCCUGGUAGUCCAUGCCGUAAACGGUGGGCGCUAGGUGUAGGGGGCUUCCACGUCUUCUGUGCCGUAGCUAACGCAUUAA